GACGAACGCUGGCGGCGUGCUUAACACAUGCAGGUCGAACGGAAAGGCCCUGCUUUUGUGGGGUGCUCGAGUGGCGAACGGGUGAGUAACACGUGAGUAACCUGCCCUUGACUUUGGGAUAACUUCAGGAAACUGGGGCUAAUACCGGAUAGGAGCUCCUGCUGCAUGGUGGGGGUUGGAAAGUUUCGGCGGUUGGGGAUGGACUCGCGGCUUAUCAGCUUGUUGGUGGGGUAGUGGCAUACCAAGGCUUUGACGGGUAGCCGGCCUGAGAGGGUGACCGGCCACAUUGGGACUGAGAUACGGCCCAGACUCCUACGGGAGGCAGCAGUGGGGAAUAUUGCACAAUGGGCGGAAGCCUGAUGCAGCAACGCCGCGUGCGGGAUGACGGCCUUCGGGUUGUAAACCGCUUUCGCCUGUGACGAAGCGUGAGUGACGGUAAUGGGUAAAGAAGCACCGGCUAACUACGUG
rnacentral:rRNA from 1 species